CCAGAGCUCAACUCCUUGGCUACACAGUUGAGGAAGACAACUGGCGUCUGCUUUGGUCCUCGGCUCAAGAAAUCUUCCCACCUCGGUGGUCAAAGUCGCUGGCACUCAUCUGGCCAGCUGCUGCCAAGAGCUGGCACUUACCUGCCAUCCUUGAACUGAACUUUUAACAAACUGCGAUUUUUAAGGAUCAGAGUUUAUUGAGGGUCAGCUUUAGCUCAAGCUCUGCUGCAAACCCCGAGUCUGAUUUUCUUCUGCUCUGGUAAGUUCUCUAGAACUUGCAGAUCUUGGAUUUUUUUUUUCCUUGUUUGAUUGCACAUUUGGGUAAAAAUAUGGACUGGCAACCGGUUACAUAUAAUUAAGAUAGUUUUCCUUUAAAUGAUGUGCUAGAUCUACAUAAACACUCUCCUACUAACGCCAUGAACUUAUGAGUGUGCAUUUUAGAAAUUACUAAUCUGAGACUUACUGGUCUGGUACUUGUCUAAACCUUGUCUGCAGGCAGAGCUACACGGAAUCCUAAGGUCAACCCCGUUUCAAUAGCCACCACCUUUUUACACCAUGAUUUGGUUAGAUGCUUACUUCCACCUUUCAGUGCACAGUCCACAUCCCUCCCUGUAUGCAAAGUCCUCUAAGAUUUAGGUUUCCUUGAAUUCA
rnacentral:lncRNA from 1 species